GAUGAAGAACGCAGCGAAAUGCGAUACGUAAUGUGAAUUGCAGAAUUCAGUGAAUCAUCGAGUCUUUGAACGCACAUUACGCCCCCUGGUAUUCCGGGGGGCAUGCCUGUCCGAGCGUCAUUGCUGCCCUCAAGCACGGCUUGUGUGUUGGGCCUCCGUCCUCCUCCCGGGGGACGGGCCCGAAAGGCAGCGGCGGCACCGCGUCCGGUCCUCGAGCGUAUGGGGCUUCGUCACCCGCUCUUGUAGGCCCGGCCGGCGCUUGCCGACACAUCAAUCUUUUUUCCAGGUUGACCUCGGAUCAGGUAGGGAUACCCGCUGAACUUAAGCAUAUCAAUAAGCGGAGGA
rnacentral:misc_RNA from 1 species